rnacentral:lncRNA from 1 species
CUUUGCAGAAGGGUCCUGGGGGUCAAUAUAGUCACGAUUGCUCAACUCUUCAUUAAGCUACAGGUUUAUAGGUUAUUUGAUAAUAAGUCCAGAAUGCAGCUGCUGUAGGAGCUUCUAAUGCACUUCUCUAUUACUUCAAGAACACUGUGUAUAAUAAUAAACUCUACAGAAAUAAACCAAAUCACAAGAAGCUUUCAGGUCUGGAGGCUGACAUUUCUCAAGACAGUUUUUGAGAAUCAUGAUGAGGCAUUAAAGAAGAGGAGGAGUGUCUCAAGGGAGGUGAGCUGGAGGUGAUGCAAGGAUGUCUGAUCUGAAAGCAUGUUGUGGUCCGCUACACACAAGAGCAAAAGAAGAGCAGGAAGGAGCUCAGUGCCAAGACCAUAGCCACAGGAAGAAAACCAGCUCUUAGGGCUGCAGCUCUAAAGACAGGCCAGGUCAUUACAGGAACGUCUGCUCCCUUAGCCUUGCCAGACAGAGGAGGGUUAAGAAAGGAACUGCUGACCCUGAUAUGCAAACUGCCACGAGUGCUUCCUGCCUUUCUAUCAGCAUCAGAUGGCUAGCGAUGGAUGGCUGUAAGAUUGAUGUAAUUAACAUUUUAUUUUCAGGGCCACAGUGCUGGUUGGGUGCACCAGACAAAUCAACCAACAGAUUAAAGAGUGAUGGAGAAAGCUGUGUUUUGGGCCUCAUUUGGGAACAGAAUGGAAGAGCUGAGGGUGGAAGGGACCUCAGCAAGUCUUCUGAUCCAUGUUUCAACCUUCAUUUCCCCGAUAACCUCAAGGAGAGAGUUGCUUUUCCUGUUCUUCAAAUGAGUUCCUUGAAUUCACACUCUAUUUCUUUGAAUUUGCACAGACUGUUGAGGAACAGGCGGCAGGGUCACUCUGGUGGAGAGAGGAUGCCAGACAGAUAUUUGAGCAGAACAAAGAGAGCCAACAGGAUGAAGGCAUUCCCUGGCUGGUUGGACAAGCAACUGAAGAACAGGAACAGAAGUGAAUGAAAAGAGAAGAUGCUGUGUUUGUGUUUUCUCUUGGUUAGAAUGCUGUGAGUCAGGACCUUAGCUGCUGGGUGUCCUGGGACUGCCUUCCCUCGUCCCCUGCAGUCCUCAGGCAGCAGGCUGCCCUUCUGCAAUCAGUUUACUUCUGGAAGCUGCUGUAGAUACUCAGCCUAAUUGGAUUUUCCGUGUGUAAAGAGAUGAAGAACCUGAGGCUCACCUUGCUUAAGUGACUUGAGCAGCUUCACGCAUCUUGUAAGUAGUAGAGACAGAGUCAAAACCAGAUCUUCCUGCCCUCUCUAUCAUAUAAACCACUUACACUGAAUUACAAAGUGAAACUGAUCUAUGGUGAAUUGUACUAAUGUUCUGCUUCUGCCAUGGGCACCAGAGGAGAUACCUUUCUUUGUUGACACUAAUCUCAAAGGCUAAAUUAGAUCCCCCAAACUCAUUUCCAUUAAUAACAUGUCAAAGGCUUGUGUCAUGCGUUAAUUUAUCCAAAGUGAUCUUGAUUCUAUUUACAUUUUGGUGCCACCUUUUAAUGUCACCAUUUUUAUAAAUUAAAUAUGUAAUAUAUAAAGCCAGUCUUCACUUACUGAUAUGUUAAUUUUUAACCCAAACUUCUUAGUCUGACAUUCCAGCAAUACCGGAGCAUUGACAGUUGAUAAUAGCUCUAUGUGCUACCUCUCCAAGAAACAAAUUUGCAUUUUAACCUGCCCCUUCAAUGGCUGAACUUCAAAGGGUCACUGAUGAAUGCCACAGCAGGUUGGUGGGAAUAUAAUUCUUUUUAUGGAUAAUAUUUGUGUGUGUAUGUGUGUGUGUGUGUUAAAUCCUACCACAUAAGUCACUAACCUAUGGGUAAGGCCAGUCUUGACCUAAAAUGAGGAAUUCUGUAAAAUUUCAAAUGCAAAUCACAUUUUAUUUUUGAUGUUAGAGAAAACUGCAAAUUGGAACAGCAGAGCUGUGCCUCUGGCCAUUUCCUGGAACUACAGAGGAGCAACUUGCCCCGGUUUCCAGUGGGUGAUGUUCCUCUUCUGCCACAGUCCCUGGCGAUGUUGAUGUGAUUGCCAUCAGAGCUCAGAAGCACAGAGCAGAAUCAUCCCCUGGAGGAGGAUUCCCUUCAGUGUAAGAAGUUCUUACAGAAUUAAUCCUCAAAGACUGUGGGUGGACUCUGCCAGGUUUUUCCCCGGGUGUACCAGAAGAGAGGAAGAGCCCUCAAAUACAGGAAAGUGCUCUUUUCAGUGACAGUAGUUCUUUUGGGCCCUGUGGCUAAGUGUGCUCCCACCCCAGCAGUAAGAUCACAGCUAAUCCUGAGAGGCAAGAGCUCACACCAGGCUACUGAAAGAAAAAGUGUCCUUUGUGGAUUGCAAGAGGAACUGGGACACACUGCUGGAAAUGAAGUGGCAGGUCAUAAACUAUCAUAAACUCAGGAGGAGAGGUGUUCCUUUUUGAGACACUCAUCACAACUAGAGAGAAUGCAGCUAAGAAAAUGCAGUCUUUAGGGGGACCUGGACUGUUGAAGUAUUUGAGCUAUUCGGAGGAAAUAGAAACUUGGAAGAGAUCUUUGUUCCACUAUUAUUUGGCAGCCCCUUACCCGCAGCUGCCAUUACUCCAGAUUCUCUCUGAUGAUCCUGCAUCAGGAGAAUGAGUUGACUGGGCACCACUGGGAAAUGUGGGCAGCUCCAGGCUGAACUAGAGAAGGGGCAUGUCAAAGGUCACUUAUUUGUGGCUUGACCCUUUGGAGGCCAGAUGUAAGAAUCAAUUUCUCACAGGUCCCAUGCUAACGCUUUUCAUAUUUAUUUCCAUCUGAGACUCACUUAGGCUAGGCAAAUAUCCCAUGGGUCUGUACCUCUCCAGUGCUUUCUUGCUCAUGUAAAAUUAGCUCAUUGGAAUGAAUAAAGAGAAUGGUAUUACUUUGGCUCGAACAC